GACGUAGGGCGCAAGCGUUGUCCGGAUUUAUUGGGCGUAAAGAGCUCGUAGGCGGCCUGUCGCGUCGAUCGUGAAAUUCUACGGCUUAACUGUGGGAGUGCGGUCGAUACGGGUGGGCUAGAGUGCGGUAGGGGAGACUGGAAUUCCUGGUGUAGCGGUGAUAUGCGCAGAUAUCAGGAGGAACACCGGUGGCGAAGGCGGGUCUCUGGGCCGUUACUGACGCUGAGGAGCGAAAGCGUGGGGAGCGAACAGGAUUAGAAACC
rnacentral:rRNA from 1 species